AAUCAGUUAUGGUUCCUUAGAUCGUUCAUACUACAUGGAUAACUGUGGUAAUUCUAGAGCUAAUACAUGCAAAAAGCUCCGACCGUAUGGGAAGAGCGCUUUUAUUAGACCAAAACCAAUGGGGUCGCAAGACUCCUUUGUAUGGUGACUCUGGAUAACUUUGUGCUGAUCGCAUGGCCUAGAGCCGGCGACGUAUCUUUCAAGUGUCUGCCCUAUCAACUUUCGAUGGUAAGCGAUUUGCCUACCAUGGUUGUAACGGGUAACGGGGAAUCAGGGUUCGAUUCCGGAGAGGGAGCAUGAGAAAUGGCUACCACAUCUACGGAAGGCAGCAGGCGCGCAAAUUACCCACUCCUAGAACGGGGAGGUAGUGACGAAAAAUAACAAUACCGGACUCAAUGAGGCUCGGUAAUUGAAAUGAGUACAGUUUAAAACCCUUAACGAGGAUCUAUUGGAGGGCAAGUCUGGUGCCAGCAGCCGCGGUAAUUCCAGCUCCAAUAGCGUAUAUUAAAGUUGUUGCAGUUAAAAAGCUCGUAGUUGGAUCUCGGGUACUAGCAUGUGGUACGCUUAAUUGCUGUUACUACAUGUCUGGUCCUAAUCAACCGGUUGGCCGUUGAUGUCCUUUAUUGGGUGUUUUCGGUAGCCGGUACGUUUACUUUGAGAAAAUUAGAGUGCUUAAAGCAGGCCUUACGCCUGAAUAAUGUUGCAUGGAAUAAUAGAAUAGGACCUCGGUUCUAUUUUGUUGGUUUUGUAGAGCAUUGAGGUAAUGAUUAAUAGGGACAGACGGGGGCAUUCGUAUUGCGGUG
rnacentral:rRNA from 1 species